UGAAUUGCCAAGUCACUAAUACCAAACCCCUAACAAGCAAUUCAAACUGAAGGUGCGAGAUGAAAACUUCAUUCCAGAACGAGAUCUUCAUCUCUCAAAAAUCCAAUUCAAUCCCUACCCCCAACUUCGAUACCAAACACAACUUACCCAUCUCAAAAGUGAAAUCACGAUCUAGAAUCUCAUCCUCCCAAAAAAGAUCGAACAAUUGCACUGUUAAAGGUGAACCCUAACCGAACGUCCGUCGCCGUUGAAAGUCCACAACCCAACCACGAAAUUGGGUUUUUCAAGAAGUGCACAUGGAGGGAGAGAAUCGACAUACGAAGGAUGACACUGAAUUCAAUAAUUCCAAUAACGACAUAUGGUCUACUGAAGACGAUAUGCUACUUGACAAAAUGUCACGGAGGGAAUUGAAUUAAAUACUUAUGAUAUUACUUAGGUAUGUGUGUAGUUUACUGAGAUUAUAAGUUGCUUAAUAAGGUUUUUUUUUUCUUUUUUUUUUUUCCAUUUUUUUAUGGACAGAGAAAAUUUAUCCCCAAUCGAAGGAAUAGAGUUGGCUCGAGCCAAGCACACGAGGAAUUUUACAGAUUUGAAUUCAUGCGAGAACGUAGUGUUUUCACUAUCAUUUAACGUAAAGAGCAUUUUCAGAGAAGCUCUAAGAUGCAGUUCAAUAAUAACAUCUUUGUUCUGUGAGGGUACAAAAAAGUUACACAAAAAGAGUCUUGCGGGAUUUGGUCGUCCUCAUUAUUUCACGAAAAUAAGAGUCUCUCGGCUAUAAAACAAGAGGACUUUCCAUUUGAGAUUGUAAUCACAAUCAAGGGUGGUUUGGAGAUUUCAAUUGCUAGUAAUUUAACUACAAAAGGAUCCUCAAAAUUGCUCAAA